UUGACAGAAGAGAGUGAGCACACGGCGCGGCGACUAGCCAUCGGCGGGAUGCCUGCCCCCGCCGCGUGCUCGCUCCUCUUUCUGUCAG
rnacentral:pre_miRNA from 1 species